GAGAGAGGUAGCUUGCUACUGAUCUUAGCGGCGGACGGGUGAGUAAUGCUUAGGAAUCUGCCUAUUAGUGGGGGACAACAUUUCGAAAGGAAUGCUAAUACCGCAUACGUCCUACGGGAGAAAGCAGGGGAUCUUCGGACCUUGCGCUAAUAGAUGAGCCUAAGUCGGAUUAGCUAGUUGGUGGGGUAAAGGCCUACCAAGGCGACGAUCUGUAGCGGGUCUGAGAGGAUGAUCCGCCACACUGGGACUGAGACACGGCCCAGACUCCUACGGGAGGCAGCAGUGGGGAAUAUUGGACAAUGGGCGCAAGCCUGAUCCAGCCAUGCCGCGUGUGUGAAGAAGGCCUUAUGGUUGUAAAGCACUUUAAGCGAGGAGGAGGCUACUUUAGUUAAUACCUAGAGAUAGUGGACGUUACUCGCAGAAUAAGCACCGGCUAACUCUGUGCCAGCAGCCGCGGUAAUACAGAGGGUGCAAGCGUUAAUCGGAUUUACUGGGCGUAAAGCGCGCGUAGGCGGCUAAUUAAGUCAAAUGUGAAAUCCCCGAGCUUAACUUGGGAAUUGCAUUCGAUACUGGUUAGCUAGAGUGUGGGAGAGGAUGGUAGAAUUCCAGGUGUAGCGGUGAAAUGCGUAGAGAUCUGGAGGAAUACCGAUGGCGAAGGCAGCCAUCUGGCCUAACACUGACGCUGAGGUGCGAAAGCAUGGGGAGCAAACAGGAUUAGAUACCCUGGUAGUCCAUGCCGUAAACGAUGUCUACUA
rnacentral:rRNA from 1 species